UCCUAAACUAUCCAUCCUGCGUCUAUUCGGCGCUCAUAUUCAUUAGAGGGAGGGUUCAUACAAGCUGCAAAGUACGGCUGCACGCAUUGGCUCACAGACCUGGAGUGAUCACUGUCCAGUAUACAGCAAUAGACAAGGUUACUUUUAAACAGAUCACAAUUAUUGACGUACCAGUGAUUUUACUGUUAGUCCUGAUAAUACAUGUGCACUGAGAACAGCUGCUACUGAUUUUGCAGAAGUUAAUUUCAUGGUCUGAUUUGAAUAGUGACAGAGAGAAAAUGCAUUUGUUCAUAAAAAAAACACAAGCUUAUACUCUACUUAGUUAACACGAUAUGCAAGAGCGACGUGAGAACAUAAGGAAGAUGGAUAAUUGGAUAUCCAACAAAAAUAGAUAAAACCUUGGCUGCAACAUUUGCACUAUAAUACCCUAAAAUGUGAUAGAUAAAUAAAAGAAAAGCUAGAAUGUAGUUUGGUUCCUGAAAAUGAUUCAGAAAUAGUUCACUAGUUCAAUAGUUUGGAGUUCACAAAGAAAUCCAGUGAAGCACUUAAACCAACUUCAGUGGCAGAAAAUGGACCAGAAUACAGUAGAGCAACAGAACAAGUUGCAGUAAAGAUUGUGAAACUCUUGAGUCUACUCAAACCAAGAAACCCUCAAGGGUUUCAAUGUUGUUUCUGUUAUCGCAGUCUGCAGCAUUCUAUUAAAGGAUUACUGAUGCCACUGUCACAUCAUAUGAUAACGAUGAAAAAGAUUCACACGUUUAUGAAAUAUAUAUUUACAACAUAAGACAAUAAUUCUAGAUGGUUGUAUGUUUGCAGAGUUGGUCUAGUGAGGUUUACACAUACAAUGUGCUUCUAUAUCCAUUAAAUGUGGGUUUAAUGUGUUCAGAUCACAAUGAUGAGACCAUAUUACAGUAGAGGAUCUGCUGUAUCUUAUAGCUCAUGCUAAUGUAAGUCUGUGGCCUGUAGAAAGGGUUGUACAGAGUAUUGAGGUCAGCAGUGUGACAUGAUGAGCUGCACUGUUUUUCUAUUUGCUGGCAUUUUACCCAACAGCUUUUGAGAGGAAGCUAAGUUUUGUUUGUGGCAAGUUUCAUUCAACACACUUCCUGUUUUUGCUAAAAGUCUCUCGGAGACAUUUUUCAGCACGAUGACCCUGAGACAAAUGUUGCAGACUGAACACACAGCACUGAAUGGGCCUGAUGCAUUGUUGUCUGUCUAUGAGCAGAGGGAGGGUGUUGGUGGAUAGAUAGCCCCACUUGUUGUUGCUAAUCUACGUCGAGGGGCGGACUCACGUUACAACGAUGACAAACACACACUGCCCUCUGUGUGCCCAUGUAUGUGUGUCAUGUGUUUUUAUGUGCGUUCCAGUGUGUGUGUGUGUGUGUGUGUGUGUGUGUGUGUGUGUGUGUGUGUGUGUGUGUGUGUGGGUGUUCAUGCCUGUUCCUGUCCUCUGUCCCGUUGAGCAUUAAGCGGGGCUGACUGGUGGGCACCGCCCAGCUCUCCACUCUGCUGGUGGGUCAGGGGUUGACUCAGCCUCCCAUACCACAUCAAGACUAAAAACACGUGGCACACCUUCACCACCAUCACCUAGCGCGAGAACCAUACAGUUACAGAAGAGGGAAACUAAGAAUAAUAACUUGUCUUUCUUCUCUGACAUGACAGCCCUUGGUGCAGCAGUAGACUUUACUGUAUAUAUUGCUCGUAGCACCUGCAGCUGUAGAUGUUGUGAAUUGUUGUGAAGACGUUUGACCUUUGAAAAACACAAAAAUAAAGUUAUAAGAAAAGUA